UUAAGCGACUAAGCGUACACGGUGGAUGCCCUGGCAGUCAGAGGCGAUGAAGGACGUGCUAAUCUGCGAAAAGCGUCGGUAAGGUGAUAUGAACCGUUAUAGCCGGCGAUGUCCGAAUGGGGAAACCCAGUGUGAUUCGUCACACUAUCGUUAACUGAAUACAUAGGUUAACGAGGCGAACCGGGGGAACUGAAACAUCUAAGUACCCCGAGGAAAAGAAAUCAACCGAGAUUCCCCCAGUAGCGGCGAGCGAACGGGGAGCAGCCCAGAGUCUGAAUCAGCUUGUGUGUUAGUGGAACGGUCUGGAAAGUCCGACGGUACAGGGUGAUAGUCCCGUACACCAAAAUGCACAGGCUGUGAACUCGAAGAGUAGGGCGGGACACGUGGUAUCCUGUCUGAAUAUGGGGGGACCAUCCUCCAAGGCUAAAUACUCCUGACUGACCGAUAGUGAACCAGUACCGUGAGGGAAAGGCGAAAAGAACCCCGGCGAGGGGAGUGAAAAAGAACCUGAAACCGUGUACGUACAAGCAGUGGGAGCACCUUCGGGUGUGACUGCGUACCUUUUGUAUAAUGGGUCAGCGACUUAUAUUCUGUAGCAAGGUUAACCGUAUAGGGGAGCCGCAGGGAAACCGAGUCUUAACUGGGCGUUAAGUUGCAGGGUAUAGACCCGAAACCCGGUGAUCUAGCCAUGGGCAGGUUGAAGGUUGGGUAACACUAACUGGAGGACCGAACCGACUAAUGUUGAAAAAUUAGCGGAUGACUUGUGGCUGGGGGUGAAAGGCCAAUCAAACCGGGAGAUAGCUGGUUCUCCCCGAAAGCUAUUUAGGUAGCGCCUCGUGAACUCAUCUUCGGGGGUAGAGCACUGUUUCGGCUAGGGGGUCAUCCCGACUUACCAACCCGAUGCAAACUACGAAUACCGAAGAAUGUUAUCACGGGAGACACACGGCGGGUGCUAACGUCCGUCGUGAAGAGGGAAACAACCCAGACCGCCAGCUAAGGUCCCAAAGUCAUGGUUAAGUGGGAAACGAUGUGGGAAGGCACAGACAGCCAGGAUGUUGGCUUAGAAGCAGCCAUCAUUUAAAGAAAGCGUAAUAGCUCACUGGUCGAGUCGGCCUGCGCGGAAGAUGUAACGGGGCUAAACCAUGCACCGAAGCUGCGGCAGCGACACUAUGUGUUGUUGGGUAGGGGAGCGUUCUGUAAGCCUGCGAAGGUGACCUGUGAGGGUUGCUGGAGGUAUCAGAAGUGCGAAUGCUGACAUAAGUAACGAUAAAGCGGGUGAAAAGCCCGCUCGCCGGAAGACCAAGGGUUCCUGUCCAACGUUAAUCGGGGCAGGGUGAGUCGACCCCUAAGGCGAGGCCGAAAGGCGUAGUCGAUGGGAAACAGGUUAAUAUUCCUGUACUUGGUGUUACUGCGAAGGGGGGACGGAGAAGGCUAUGUUAGCCGGGCGACGGUUGUCCCGGUUUAAGCAUGUAGGCUGAUUAUCCAGGCAAAUCCGGAUAAUCAAGGCUGAGGUGUGAUGACGAGGCACUACGGUGCUGAAGUAACAAAUGCCCUGCUUCCAGGAAAAGCCUCUAAGCAUCAGGUAACAUCAAAUCGUACCCCAAACCGACACAGGUGGUCAGGUAGAGAAUACCAAGGCGCUUGAGAGAACUCGGGUGAAGGAACUAGGCAAAAUGGUGCCGUAACUUCGGGAGAAGGCACGCUGGUGUGUAGGUGAAGUCCCUGCGGAUGGAGCUGAGACCAGUCGAAGAUACCAGCUGGCUGCAACUGUUUAUUAAAAACACAGCACUGUGCAAACACGAAAGUGGACGUAUACGGUGUGACGCCUGCCCGGUGCCGGAAGGUUAAUUGAUGGGGUUAUCCGUAAGGAGAAGCUCUUGAUCGAAGCCCCGGUAAACGGCGGCCGUAACUAUAACGGUCCUAAGGUAGCGAAAUUCCUUGUCGGGUAAGUUCCGACCUGCACGAAUGGCGUAAUGAUGGCCAGGCUGUCUCCACCCGAGACUCAGUGAAAUUGAACUCGCUGUGAAGAUGCAGUGUACCCGCGGCAAGACGGAAAGACCCCGUGAACCUUUACUAUAGCUUGACACUGAACAUUGAGCCUUGAUGUGUAGGAUAGGUGGGAGGCUUUGAAGCGUGGACGCCAGUCUGCGUGGAGCCAACCUUGAAAUACCACCCUUUAAUGUUUGAUGUUCUAACGUUGGCCCCUGACCGGGGUUGCGGACAGUGUCUGGUGGGUAGUUUGACUGGGGCGGUCUCCUCCCAAAGCGUAACGGAGGAGCACGAAGGUUAGCUAAUCCUGGUCGGACAUCAGGAGGUUAGUGCAAUGGCAUAAGCUAGCUUGACUGCGAGCGUGACGGCGCGAGCAGGUGCGAAAGCAGGUCAUAGUGAUCCGGUGGUUCUGAAUGGAAGGGCCAUCGCUCAACGGAUAAAAGGUACUCCGGGGAUAACAGGCUGAUACCGCCCAAGAGUUCAUAUCGACGGCGGUGUUUGGCACCUCGAUGUCGGCUCAUCACAUCCUGGGGCUGAAGUAGGUCCCAAGGGUAUGGCUGUUCGCCAUUUAAAGUGGUACGCGAGCUGGGUUUAGAACGUCGUGAGACAGUUCGGUCCCUAUCUGCCGUGGGCGCUGGAGAAUUGAGGGGGGCUGCUCCUAGUACGAGAGGACCGGAGUGGACGCAUCACUGGUGUUCGGGUUGUCAUGCCAAUGGCACUGCCCGGUAGCUAAAUGCGGAAGAGAUAAGUGCUGAAAGCAUCUAAGCACGAAACUUGCCCCGAGAUGAGUUCUCCCUGAGACUUUAAGUCUCCUGAAGGAACGUUAAAGACGAUGACGUUGAUAGGCCGGGUGUGUAAGCGCAGCGAUGCGUUGAGCUAACCGGUACUAAUGAACCGUGAGGCUUAACCUU
rnacentral:rRNA from 1 species